CCUACGGGAGGCAGCAGUGGGGAAUAUUGCACAAUGGGGGAAACCCUGAUGCAGCGACGCCGCGUGAGUGAAGAAGUAAUUCGUUAUGUAAAGCUCUAUCAGCAGGGAAGAAAAUGACGGUACCUGAGUACGAAGCCCCGGCUACCUACGUGCCAGCAGCCGCGGUAAUACGUAGGGGGCAAGCGUUAUCCGGAUUUACUGGGGGUAAAGGGAGCGUAGACGGCAGUGCAAGUCUGGAGUGAAAGGCGGGGGCUCAACCCCCGGACUGCUCUGGAAACUAUAGGGCUGGAGUGCAGGAGAGGUAAGCGGAAUGCCUAGUGUAGCGGUGAAAUGCGUAGAUAUUAGGAGGAACACCAGUGGCGAAGGCGGCUUACUGGACUGUAACUGACGUUGAGGCUCGAAAGCGUGGGUAGCAAACAGGAUUAGAUACCCGAGUAGUC
rnacentral:rRNA from 1 species